GGCAACAGCUGAUAAGGAGAUAGCAAGGUCACAACCUUGAGGCAUUCCAAUAAAUAGAGGAGUUCAGGAGCAGUAUUUGGCCAGUUUCCUUGGAGAUUGGGCCGGAGACACACUUCUGUUAUGCUGUGCUGCUGCCGAUAGCAGAGGUCUGCCUCCCACAAGGGAUCCCUUCCUUUCUGGACAUGGAGGUUAAUUGGCAUGGAGAGCCUAAGCAGUGACAAGCGGGUCCCGGAAUGCAAAAGAGCCCAUUAUGCAAAUAUGAAAUAGGUUUGGGCACAUUUGUACAGAAAAGCGUCAUAUGAAUUGAAUUAACAAUAAAUAAAUAACAACCCCAACCAGCGUGGCCAAUGGGAAGGGACGAUGGGAGCUGGAGUCCAACAACGUUUGGAGGGCCACAAGUUCCACCUCUGAUGCUCUAAAGCAACCCUUCUCCUUUCUGUGAACGUGGUGAUUUCUGAAAUCGUUUUAUCAGAGUUAUUAUGCAUGGUCAUAGAUGUGUUCUGCAGACUGAAGAAUAUAAGUUUAUGGUUUGCAUGCUUG